CUUCCUUUAAGUGGGGAAUAGCCCGGGGAAACCCGGAUUAAUACCCCGNUAAUAUAAUGAACUGGCAUCACUUUAUUAUUAUAGCUCCGGCGCUUGAAGAUGGGUGUGCGACUGAUUAGNCAGUUGGCGGGGUAACGGCCCACCAAACCUACGAUCAGUAACUGGUGUGAAAGCACGACCAGUCACACGGGCACUGAGACACGGGCCCGACUCCUACGGGAGGCAGCAGUAAGGAAUAUUGGUCAAUGGACGCAAGUCUGAACCAGCCAUGCCGCGUGGAGGAUGAAGGUCCUCUGGAUUGUAAACUUCUUUUAUCUGGGAAGAAAUGCAUUUUUUCUAAAGUGCUUGACGGUACCAGGUGAAUAAGCACCGGCUAACUCCGUGCCAGCAGCCGCGGUAAUACGGAGGGUGCAAGCGUUAUCCGGAUUCACUGG
rnacentral:rRNA from 1 species